rnacentral:rRNA from 1 species
GACGAACGCUGGCGGCGUGCUUAACACAUGCAAGUCGAACGGAAAGGCCCUGCUUUUGUGGGGUGCUCGAGUGGCGAACGGGUGAGUAACACGUGAGUAACCUGCCCUUGACCUUGGGAUAACUUCAGGAAACUGGGGCUAAUACCGGAUAGGAGCUCCUGCUGCAUGGUGGGGGUUGGAAAGUUUCGGCGGUUGGGGAUGGACUCGCGGCUUAUCAGCUUGUUGGUGGGGUAGUGGCUUACCAAGGCUUUGACGGGUAGCCGGCCUGAGAGGGUGACCGGCCACAUUGGGACUGAGAUACGGCCCAGACUCCUACGGGAGGCUGCAGUGGGGAAUAUUGCACAAUGGGCGGAAGCCUGAUGCAGCAACGCCGCGUGCGGGAUGACGGCCUUCGGGUUGUAAACCGCUUUCGCCUGUGACGAAGCGUGAGUGACGGUAAUGGGUAAAGAAGCACCGGCUAACUACGUG